rnacentral:rRNA from 1 species
CCUACGGGGGGCUGCAGUGGGGAAUAUUGGACAAUGGGGGGAACCCUGAUCCAGCCAUGCCGCGUGUGUGAAGAAGGCCCUCGGGUUGUAAAGCACUUUCAGUGAGGAAGAACGCCUGGUGGUUAAUACCCAUCAGGAAGACAUCACUCACAGAAGAAGCACCGGCUAACUCCGUGCCAGCAGCCGCGGUAAUACGGAGGGUGCGAGCGUUAAUCGGAAUUACUGGGCGUAAAGCGCGCGUAGGUGGCUUGAUAAGCCGGUUGUGAAAGCCCCGGGCUCAACCUGGGAACGGCAUCCGGAACUGUCAAGCUAGAGUGCAGGAGAGGAAGGUAGAAUUCCCGGUGUAGCGGUGAAAUGCGUAGAGAUCGGGAGGAAUACCAGUGGCGAAGGCGGCCUUCUGGACUGACACUGACACUGAGGUGCGAAAGCGUGGGUAGCAAACAGGAUUAGAUACCCGAGUAGUC